UAAACUUAACUGUGAGCAUAGGAUUUUAGGAGAAUGGGAAAGGAAACAGGACAAAGCUUUAACUUUAAAUCUAACUUGAUUCAUUUCUGAAAGAAACAGAGAGGAGAGACUGAAUGCAGCUAGCAUCCUUCUCAAGGAACAGUGUUGUGCUCUGCUCUCUACCUCCACCUGUGACAGAGCUCAGCACUUCAUGGCUCACAAGUUUCUCCUUGCAGUGGAGUUUCUGCUGCAUCUGUUUCAUCCUCAGCACUACCUGACUGGGGGUCUGGAGGUUCCCUUGAGACAAGGGCAGAUGCAGAUAACAAACACAACUUCCUAACCUGUGUUCAUCACAUCAUGGUAAUGAUUCCUAGGUAGUCAGCCCCAGAUUUUUUUCCGCAGUUCUUCCUAUCUGGGCUUUGUUGUUCUUCAAAACCUGGUUGCCUUCUUACCCUUUAUUCAGGAAGGCAGAAAUGUACAUCUCAUCUUUGUGUAUUUCAAGAAGUCUUAGAUAUCUGGGAUGCCUCAAGCCACACGGGAACUGGGAGAUCAAAUGUAUAUUUAUGCACUUUGCUGUCACGUGAGGGCAGAGGUAUAGGCUGUUAAUUCCUGGAAAAGUUAUUAUGAGAAACUCCAAAAAUUUGGGCUCUGAGUUAAUUUGGUGCUGAAUGGACAUGAGAGCCAUGAGCAGAGCUAGCAGGAGACCAGCUGUGGGAGAUGUGGAGAUGGGUGCCCAUCUGAUAGAGCCUUUCCUGUAUCCUUCUCUGUUCCCUGGAUGUGCCUUUAGCUGGGUGUUACCUAGCAGAACAGGUUUAAUGCCUUAAUCAUCACAUGAUUUGUCAGCACAGGAUUAGCAAUUUGAGUUUUGCAAUGACCUGAUGAGCAUGCAGUUGUGCACUUGCUGUUCCUGAAAUGCCACCUCUCAGAAGGACAGGAGGGUGUUUAUGAAGAUUUUAAUAAAGGAGUUAACUAAGAAAUGUGUGCUAAGGGACAGCUUCUUUUUUAAUGAAGAAAAUCACCAGUGUCCCAUUUGCAAGAUAUUUCCAUGUAUUCAAGAGCCUUUUAAAGGUGCAAUGUACAUUCCUUCUUUCUCAUCUUAGGUUUUGCAUCUCUGAAGAAGUGAGGAGACAGGUAAAGGUAACAAACUGCUUUGUUAGUGAAGGCAUAGAGAUGAAAAGAAAUAUUCUUGCUUGAUUUUUGAAGGCAUGGAAGAUUCUUUCUGUUGUUGCUGCUAUGUGCAUGUUAUUGCCAUUCAGAAGACAUGAGCGUGUCAGAAUAAGUGGCUCUGGCUGGCUGGCUGUUGCCAGCCUUGAUGUGUGUUUUGGAAGUAGUAUUUCGAUUUGUUUGAUCACAGCAUGUUCUCACUGCAAAAGACAUGAUUUCCCCAGUGCUCAUCAUGGCACUGCAGUCUUUUCUGUACCUUUCUUUGUCAUGAAGAGUAUCUCAGAGUACUGGAAGAAAAACAGAAGUAUAAGGCUCUGAAAAUUACGUUACAUGGCAGCAGUACUUCGUAAAAGCCAGCUCUUGUCUGGUUGGUCACUGGGACAAGAAGCUAAGAAGGGGAGCCAAAAUGGAGUGCACCUGCACCCUUCAUGGGAUCCUGGCUACAUCGUACUCCCUAGGAUCAUAAGCUCAGGCUUUUUUGUGUUUGGUUUCUGUUUUAUGUGAUGAGGAUUAAUGAUGGAUACCACCUGAACCAUGUAUUUCAAUCUACAUCUAAAGCAUGAUCUGUAUCAACUGAAUGCUCUUAUCUCGCUCUUCACUUGAAUUUACACUGAAACCAUUUGCAUUGUGCUAUUGCUAACUCUAACUCAUCUCCAAAGUCCUUUAUCAUAAAACACUUAUUUUUCUUGCCUGAUCAUUAUUUUCACGUAAGAAAUACACAUGGCAAAAUGAAUGCCCACUGUGUCAGCCCGUGAGUAAUGGACUCUUUGUGGACACAAUCGGAUCAGGAAAUGUGCCUUUUGUUUUCCUGCACCUGUUGCUGUACUACAAAUAAAAUCAUCCAAUGUUUUAUUAAAUAAAACGAGAAGCCCUAAUGAAAUUGUACCAGCCAUUACCAGGAAGUCUAUUGAAAACAUUCAGCAGCUGCUCAGCCUGAGUUUGUUUACACUGAUAAGGCUGUUUUGUCCCAUUCCUUAUGUGCGAAGUGAAGAAGCUACAGUGCAGUCCUAGUGUGCAGCAGAGCCUUGGAGUGUUUCAUACCACUCUCUUCAAGUUCCUUUUAAAGUAUUUGGUUAUAAUCUGUGAUGUUACGUAUUUGUGGAUCUAUUGUGAAGAAUUUAAACUCGAGUACAUGAAAGCAAAGCAAUACGGGCCUUCCAGAAGUUGAGCCAAAGCCAUGAGCUCCUUCAGCAGGGCUGGCCCAAAAGGCCACGUGCAGAGGGGUCUGUUCCAUGAAAGGGAGGAUGGUGUGUAAAUUAGGGUGGACUGAAGACCUGUAUUUAACCCCAACUAAUGGCGGUGCAUAGCAGCAUAGGGGGAAUGGAUUAGAACAAGGGAAAUUUGGGGGGAAGGAGGUAGCCCUGUUACGAAGAGCCGGACUGUGCAGCAUACAGCCAGGUCCAUCCAGUGAUGAAAGAGCUGGUCUGUCCUCAUGGUGACAGUGGUGACAGCUCCAUGGAAGAGAACAGUAGGUACUGAUGCUUCUCUUUUCCACAGUGGUUGUUUUUCCAGGUGGUACUUUUGUUUUAGUUGGUAAAUUGCUUAGGUUGGUGGUUGCUGCACAGAUAGUGACACAGGAUAGUGAUGGGGAAGCACCUCAGCAACUGCAUGAGGGACAUAAAGGGCAGGGAAGGGCUGCAUGGAAGAUGGAAAGGAUUUACUGUGUACACUGAGCUCACUUGAAUUGAGGCUGCCAACAGAUCCAAGGUGGAUUCUGACAGGGAUGUCCAACUUCUGCCAGUAGAACAGCUGCAUUUGGAAGAUAUUCCUCCAUUGCCUGGUGCUUCGGAUGCCAACUGUGAGGUCUGAAUGUUGCCUUGCUGUCUGUGUGACCCUACUAGAGAAGACAAAUUCACAGAGCAGCUGGAAGGGUACAUGCUAUGGUCACCCUACGUGCUGGCAGUUAAGGCAGUACCAAUAAGAAGACAUUUACUUUGCAAUAAGUGAUGUAAGAAGUGGCCCAACAGGGAGGUACAUGUUGGGGGCCUGAAGGAGUCAAUGAAUCCCACAUCUGCUGUAAGGUUUGGCAGGAACCAAAAGUGAUGCCUUCCUCCAGUGAUGAGCCAGAUA